UGAGGAAUAUUGGACAAUGGGCGCAAGCCUGAUCUAGCCAUGCCGCGUGCAGGAAGAAGCAUCUAUGGUGUGUAAACUGCUUUUGUACGGAGCGAAAAGGUCUGCCCUAAUACGGUGGGCUCAUGACGGUACCGUAAGAAUAAGGAUCGGCUAACUCCGUGCCAGCAGCCGCGGUAAUACGGAGGAUCCAAGCGUUAUCCGGAAUCAUUGGGUUUAAAGGGUCCGUAGGCGGUUUAAUAAGUCAGUGGUGAAAGCCCAUCGCUCAACGAUGGAACGGCCAUUGAUACUGUUAGACUUGAAUUACAAGGAAGUAACUAGAAUAUGUAGUGUAGCGGUGAAAUGCUUAGAUAUUACAUGGAAUACCAAUUGCGAAGGCAGGUUACUACUUGUGGAUUGACGCUGAUGGACGAAAGCGUGGGGAGCGAACA
rnacentral:rRNA from 1 species